GAUGAACGCUGGCGGCGUGCUUAACACAUGCAAGUCGAACGAAGCACUUUAAUCGAUUUCUUCGGAUUGAAAUUUUAGUGACUGAGUGGCGGACGGGUGAGUAACGCGUGGGUAACCUGCCUCACACAGGGGGAUAACAGUUGGAAACGGCUGCUAAUACCGCAUAAGCGCACAGUACCGCAUGGUACAGUGUGAAAAACUCCGGUGGUGUAAGAUGGACCCGCGUCUGAUUAGCUAGUUGGCAGGGCAACGGCCUACCAAGGCGACGAUCAGUAGCCGACCUGAGAGGGUGACCGGCCACAUUGGGACUGAGACACGGCCCAAACUCCUACGGGAGGCAGCAGUGGGGAAUAUUGCACAAUGGGGGAAACCCUGAUGCAGCGACGCCGCGUGAGCGAAGAAGUAUUUCGGUAUGUAAAGCUCUAUCAGCAGGGAAGAAAAAAUGACGGUACCUGACUAAGAAGCCCCGGCUAACUACGUG
rnacentral:rRNA from 1 species